rnacentral:sRNA from 1 species
AAGGAGAAAGUGUUGACGGGAUAGAAUCGUCGGCCGGGCAGCCGGAGCUUUUAGACGAGCUUGGCGCCAGGGAGUGAUCGAGCCGGAACAACCGGUUGCAACCGUAUCAAGCUUCCGCGGCCGCAGGAAUUCAUCCGCCGUCGCCGCAUUUCCUCCUCCGUAUACUGGUUCGCAAAUUUCCGGCGGUGGCCGGAGUUCUUGAUGGUGAAUUUCACCGGAUGCCCGCAAGCGGGCGCAUUCAUCGGGCCUCUUCCAGAGGUCCAGGACAUUGGCAUUCUUGUUUGGUCUUUGAUGUGACUCAGCAGUAUCGGUCAGAAGUAGAGCGGCCCCGGGACCUUAGCGUUCCGGCUGCCGUCUGGCUGCUGCACCAUCGCUUGCGCCAAACAGGACCUUUUAUAUCCGGCGCAGCCUCCGACGUCUUCGACAGCCUUCUUGAAAAAGGCACUCUGUCUGUCGUCCCGCCGCGCCGAGGAGCACA